UCUGACUUUCUCUCUUAAUUGUUCCCAUCUUUUUUAUGGUGAUUUUAUUUUAUUUUUCUCUCAUUAUUUGUUUUUCAGAUAGUAAUAAACAUCACAAUAAUCUGCGAAUUUCCUUUUGGUAAGUGUAGUGAGAUGGAGGACGAACAAAUUUGGAGAAAGACCAAAUCUAUCAAACGAAGAUUAGCACAAAGAUGGGGACUGAGGCAUGAGAUGGAGGAAGAACAUGCUGCUUGAUUAUCAUCAUCCCUGAGAACCAAAACAAAACUAAAUCACGUUGGACAAAGAUCCUCAAGGAUUACGCUGACAUCUCACGUUAUCUUACAUUUAAUUUAUUGAUGAUUCAAACAACAAUUAAAAUGUACCAUGAAAGUGCGUACUAGCGGAUUUCUCAGUAUGAUCAUCAUAACAGCGAUAUCAGAAGAUUAAAGAAAAAGCAAAUCUUACUUAACAUCUUCGACCAAAGUAAGACUUUUGAAGUGUGGUAACUAAUAUAGUUUAUUGUUCUUUACUUAGGUUUUUGAAGAAGAGGCGCUGGUCGUUGACCGGAAUAUGCGACUAUGUACACAUAAAAUUUUAAUUGCUUUCUUUCCUAAUGAUUUUUUUUAGUCAUAGCAUAAUCUUUGUAGCCUUUUUGUUUUGACGGUGUCCGUUCCUUCUCGCGCUAUUAAUUUGAUCCUAUUUGUGUAGGAAUUAACAAGUGGAUAUUGGUUCAUUGUUUUCUCUUCGGUUCAUUCUAUUUUCUUUUUAAUUUGGCCAAAAAAAAACAGGAUUUUGCUGCGGCAAAAUCAUAAUAGCAUUAAAGAGUGUGUCGGGUCAGCAAGAUGCAACGAAAGUGCGUUACAAAAAUUGCUUGCAU